rnacentral:misc_RNA from 1 species
AACACCUCAACCUCUCUUUUUUGAUAAAAAAAAGGGAGGGUGGACUUGAGCUAUCCCAACGACCUUCACCGGUAGGCGGGCGGCUUGAAAUGCAGGUGCAGCUGGACUUUUAUCUGAGCUAAAAGCAUAUCUAUUUAGUCCUCGUCAAACAGGAUUAUUACUUUUGCUGCAGCUAACAUAAAGGAUAAUUGUCCUCUUUGCUGACUGAUGCAGGAUUUUACGACACUUUAUGUGUUGUUCA